rnacentral:misc_RNA from 1 species
GAUGAAGAACGUAGCGAAAUGCGAUAAGUAAUGUGAAUUGCAGAAUUCAGUGAAUCAUCGAAUCUUUGAACGCACAUUGCGCCCGCUAGUAUUCUGGCGGGCAUGCCUGUCCGAGCGUCAUUUCAACCCUCAAGCCCCCGGGCUUGGUGUUGGGGAUCGGCGAGCCUCCGCGCCCGCCGUCCCCUAAAUCUAGUGGCGGUCUCGCUGUAGCUUCCUCUGCGUAGUAGCACACCUCGCACUGGGAAACAGCGCAGCCACGCCGUUAAACCCCCAACUUCUGAACGUUUGACCUCGGAUCAGGUAGGAAUACCCGCUGAACUUAAGCAUAUCAAUAAGCGGAGGA